CGCUGGCGGAAUGCUUUACACAUGCAAGUCGAACGGCAGCACGGGAGCUUGCUCCUGGUGGCGAGUGGCGAACGGGUGAGUAAUGCGUCGGAACGUACCGAGUAAUGGGGGAUAACGCANCGAAAGCUGUGCUAAUACCGCAUACGCCCUGAGGGGGAAAGCAGGGGAUCGCAAGACCUUCCCUUAUUCGAGCGGCCGACGUCUGAUUAGCUAGUUGGUGGGGUAAAGCCCUACCAAGGCGACGAUCAGUAGCGGGUCUGAGAGGAUGAUCCGCCCCCCGGGAACUGAGACACGGUCCAGACUCUUACGGGAGGCAGCAGUGGGGAAUUUUGGCCAAUGGGGGAAACCCUGAUCCAGCCAUUCCGCGUGAGUGAAGAAGGCCUUCGGGUUGUAAAGCUCUUUCAGC
rnacentral:rRNA from 1 species